rnacentral:rRNA from 1 species
AACGAGACCUUAACCUGCUAUUUAGUCGCUCGGUCUCCGUCCGUGCGCACUUCAUAGAGGGACUCUGCGGCGUCAAGCUGCGGUGAGGUUUAAGGCAAUAACAGGUCUGUGGUGCCCUUAGAUGUCCUGGGCUGCACGCGCGCUACACUGAUGCUUGCCUCGUGUUUACCCUCGGCCGAUAGGCCCUGGUAACCCCUAGUCUGCAUCGUGUUUGGGAUUGAUCUUUGCAAUUCUAGAUCAUGAACGAGGAAUGCCUAGUAUGCGCAAGUCAUCAGCUUGUGCAGAUUACGUCCCUGCCCUUUGUACACA